rnacentral:lncRNA from 1 species
AGAAGAUACUUUAAUUUAUGGAAAUUUGAACGUAGAGGCUUUAGCCACUUAUGUUUUGGCAUUUACGAGAGAGUUGGAUGGGAACGACACCUACGUUUUUAUAUUUAAUAAGGGAAAUUAUCCUACUUCAGUGUCACUAUCUUCGUUUAAGUCUGUCAGUGAAAAUGUAACAGUAGUUCUCUCCAGUAUCAACUCAUCAAGAAACAAAGGGGAUACUCUGCCAGCAGGAAACAUAACAAUCGAUGCACACGAAGCAAUAAUAGCAAAAUCACAAUCAAAUACUUCAGUAUGAUGGAACAUUUAUACUUUUCUGUUAAUAAUGUUAUUGCUAUUUCGAAUUUCCUAACAGUAACUUAAUUAUCAUUUUGUCUGUUAUGUUA